GAAUAUAGUCAUGUUUGAAAUAGUGUCGGAUGUUAGGAUUUUCAUAUAUUGUGGCCCAAUUAAUCAUAUAUAAUUUAAAAUUUGCUAUAGAUAAAGGUCAAUCAUAACAAAUUUAGAACUACUUAAUAUGGUAAAUUUUAUCCCUAUCCCAUCUANUACCAAUUGGCUUUUUAAUAUUACUACUCAACUCAUGAAUCAAAACAAACUUAACAAUUAAUUCUAUAAAAAUAUCUUUAAAAAAUGUGAAAAAAAAAAAAAAAAAA
rnacentral:lncRNA from 1 species